GGCCCGAUGGUUAUAAUUCUCGCUUAGGGUUUCCUGGAGCAAUUUGCGAGAGGUCCCGGGUUCAAUUCCCGGUUGGGCCC
rnacentral:tRNA from 1 species